rnacentral:rRNA from 1 species
AUGAUUCGUGCUUUGAUUACAUCUCAACAUCCAAAAAUAAACUUGACUACUCUCUAUACUUUUCUAUGGUGUCUUUGGAAAGCUCGGAACGACUGUCUAUUUUGCAGCAAAUUAUGCAAGCCUUCCCAGGUGUAUCCUUCAGCAAAUGCAAUAAUUGAAGCAACCAAUUUAGAAGAUAAGAACUCCGCUCAGCAACAAGAAAGCGAUAAAGCUCAGGAGCAGUUGCAGGCUUCUACAACAACCACGCAUACACAUGACUGUAAUAACCUUACAGGGAAUAUCAUCUUUUGCGACGCAGCCUGGGAGAGACGCACAGAUUCAGAGCUGGGCCAUGCUGGCUUAGGAGUAAUCAUCACCAUGCAAGACAAUCGGCACCUCCAACGACUACACGUCUCUGCGCUUUCGCCUCCAGUUUCAUCACCCCUCCAGGCUGAGGCUUAUGGGCUGCUACUAGCUACUAAGUUAGCUGCAGGUUCAGAACCCUCACUUUUGCACCGACUGCUCGGUGUUAGUUUCGGCGGCAAGGUCAUCAACGGUAUUUGCUGCUCCAGGAUGUUGGGAGAACAGACCUCUCCUUGCAGAGAUCCAAGCCUCUCCAUCUUUUAG